AGCGAACGCUGGCGGCAGGCCUAACACAUGCAAGUCGAACGAACCUUUCGGGGUUAGUGGCGGACGGGUGAGUAACACGUGGGAACGUGCCUUUAGGUUCGGAAUAACUCAGGGAAACUUGUGCUAAUACCGAAUGUGCCCUUCGGGGGAAAGAUUAAUCGCCUUUAGAGCGGCCCGCGUCUGAUUAGCUAGUUGGUUGAGGUAAUGGCUCACCAAGGCGACGAUCAGUAGCUGGUCUGAGAGGAUGAUCAGCCACAUUGGUACUGAGACACGGCCCAAACUCCUACGGGAAGCAGCAGUGGGGAAUCUUGCGCAAUGGGCGAAAGCCUGACGCAGCCAUGCCGCGUGAAUGAUGAAGGUCUUAGGAUUGUAAAAUUCUUUCACCGGGGACGAUAAUGACGGUACCCGGAGAAGAAGCCCCGGCUAACUUCGUG
rnacentral:rRNA from 1 species